GUAUAUGUAAAUCUCGGGAAUCCGCUGAUCAGCUCCUCAGAUCUUCUCGUUCAACUCGCCUACAAUUCUGAGAGUUUGUUAGUUCUCAAUGGGUUUCGGUAGAGUUCUGAUCUGUUCUCUAUGAUGUCUGAAGUUCUUCUCUUCUAUUCUAUUUUCUGGAAAGGUUGAAUUAGAGGGAAAGUAGGAGGGGUUCAAAAGGAGUCGCGGUUUCUCGCGGGUCUCGGAUGAUUGGUUAAGGAUGAUGAAAUAAUUGGGGGUAAGGUUUCUGGUUCGUGCGUGAGAUCUCGGUGGUGGAUUAGCGCGAGGUGGUUGGUUUAGAGAAGCAAGCGGCGAAGCGCUAAUUGGUCUUAUCAUCAUUAAAAUGAAGGCGCUAUCCUGAAUUCUGAGAAUAAGGGUUUCUUUCUCUGUGAACUAU